UACGUAGGGUGCGAGCGUUGUCCGGACUUAUUGGGCGUAAAGAGCUUGUAGGCGGUCUGUCGCGUCUGCUGUGAAAAUCCGGGGCUCAACCCCGGACUUGCAGUGGGUACGGGCAGACUAGAGUGUGGUAGGGGAGACUGGAAUUCCUGGUGUAGCGGUGAAAUGCGCAGAUAUCAGGAGGAACACCGAUGGCGAAGGCAGGUCUCUGGGCCACUACUGGCGCUGAGAAGCGAAAGCAUGGGGAGCGAACAGG
rnacentral:rRNA from 1 species